ACCGGCAGCUCAAGUGGUGGCCAUUAUUAUUGGGCCUAAAGCGUUCGUAGCCGGUUUGAUAAGUCUCUGGUGAAAUCCCGCAGCUUAACUGUGGGACUUGCUGGAGAUACUAUCAGACUUGAGGUCGGGAGAGGUUAGGGGUACUCCCAGGGUAGGGGUGAAAUUCGUAGAUAUUAGGAAGAACACCAGUGGCGAAGGCGGCUCACUGGUCCGGUACUGACGCUGAGGUGCGAAAGCGUGGGGAGCAAACAG
rnacentral:rRNA from 1 species